UACGUAGGCAGCGAGCGUUGUUCGGAAUUACUGGGCGUAAAGAGUGUGUAGGCGGUGCUCCCAGUCUGUUGUGAAAUCUCCCGGCUUAACUGGGAGGGUGCAGCGGAAACUAGAGUGCUAGAGGGUGGGAGAGGUAAGCGGAAUUCCCGGUGUAGCGGUGAAAUGCGCAGAUAUCGGGAGGAACACCGGUGGCGAAGGCGGUUCUCUGGGCCUUACCUGACACUGAGGAGCGAAAGCGUGGGGAGCGAACAGG
rnacentral:rRNA from 1 species